GGGGUUGGGGAUUUAGCUCAGCGGUAGAGCGCUUGCCUAGCAAGCGCAAGGCCCUGGGUUCGGUCCCCAGCUCCGAGAAAAAAAAAAAAAAAAAAAAAAAGACAAAGACACCCAA
rnacentral:scRNA from 1 species